rnacentral:rRNA from 1 species
GACGAACGCUGGCGGCGUGCUUAACACAUGCAAGUCGAACGGAAAGGCCUGCUUUCCCUUGUGGAUUGCGGGUACUCGAGUGGCGAACGGGUGAGUAACACGUGAGUGAUCUGCCCCCAACUUGGGUAUAAGCCUGGGAAACUGGGUCUAAUUCCCGAUAGGACUGCAGGGUGGUGCCUGUGGUGGAAAACGAUUUUCUAGUGGUUGGGGAUGAGCUCGCGGCCUAUCAGCUUGUUGGUGGGGUAAUGGCCUACCAAGGCGGCGACGGGUAGCCGGCCUGGGAGGGUGGACGGCCAAAUUGGGACUGAGAUACGGCCCAGACUCCUACGGGAGGCAGCAGUGGGGAAUAUUGCACAAUGGGCGGAAGCCUGAUGCAGCGACGCCGCGUGGGGAUGACGGCCUUCGGGUUGUAAACUCCUUUCGACCGCGAGGAAGCCACCUGGUUGGAAGGGUGGUGACGGUAGUGGUAGAAGAAGCACCGGCUAACUACGUG